rnacentral:sRNA from 1 species
GGAAAGGGGGGAGGGGGCCUACCUACCCCACUGAUCACCAGGGUUGACUCGGCUGAUCCGGCUGGCUAGGCGGGUGCCCCCUCCUCGCUCC